GGAAACCUGGAAGAGGACUGGAGGGCAGAAGAGGGAACCCCUGAAUGGAUUGGGGUUUAAAAUAAAUGAGAAAAAAUACUUCCUAAUUCCAGCGAAGGGGUUCAGGGAUAGAUUGGAGCGUUUCUCCCACCACUUCCUGAGGGAAGGAUCAACACUUUCCCACAAGUCUGGCUGCGAGGUCACAUCGUUCAUCAUCCUCUACACUGGAGGUGGAGGGGUGUCUUUGGCAGACACACAUCUGGAGGAGGAGGAGCUAUUCCGGAGGCUGAGGCAGGAGGAUUACCCCGAGUUCAAGUCCAACCUGACCCACAUAGUGAGCACCAAGCCAGCCCAGGACUACAUAGCAAAACCCAGUCAAAAAGAAAAUUAUUCAAACGUGGUUAAGAGUUCUGGCUGCUCUUCCAGAGGACCUGGGUUCAAUUUCCAGCACCCACAUGGCAGCUCACAGUGGUCUUUAACUCCAGUUCCAGGUGAUCUGACAUCUUCAAAGACAUACAUGUAAGUAAAACACCAGUGCGCAUUAAAUACAUCUAAAAAAUUAUUCGAAUAAAAAGUCUGUCUACCUUUGCAGGCCUGUGCAUGCAAACAAGUGACCUGGGUCCCUUCUCUGGUGUCGGUACUUGUGCUGGCUGGUUUGCUGUCAGCUAGACACAAGCUAGAGUCAUCAGAGAGGAAGGAGCCUCUGUUGAGGAAAUGCCUCCCUGAGAUCCAGCUGUAGGGCACUUCCUCAAUUAGUGAUCAAUGGAGGAAGCCCAGCCCAUUGUGGGCAGUGCCAUCCUUGGGCCCCGUGGUCCUGGAUUUUAUAAGAAAGCAGGCUGAGCAAGCACGGAGAGCAUUGCAGUAAGCAGCACCCCUCCAUGGCCGCUGCGUCAGCUCCUGCCUCCAGGUUGCUGUCCUGCUUGAGUUCCAGUCCUGACUUCCUUUGGUGAUGAACAGCGAUGUGGAAGUGUGAGCUGAAUAAACCCUUUCCUCCA
rnacentral:lncRNA from 1 species